GGGGGUUUAGCUCAGCUGGGAGAGCACCUGCUUUGCAAGYAGGGGGUCGUCGGUUCGAUCCCGUCAACCUCCACCA
rnacentral:tRNA from 1 species